rnacentral:rRNA from 1 species
AACGAACGCUGGCGGCAGGCCUAACACAUGCAAGUCGAACGCCGUAGCAAUACGGAGUGGCAGACGGGUGAGUAACGCGUGGGAACAUACCCCUCGGUUCGGAAUAACUCAGGGGAAACUUGAGCUAAUACCGGAUACGUCCGAGGUUUUAAUCGACCUUGGAGAAAGAUUUAUCGCCGGAGGAUUGGCCCGCGUCUGAUUAGCUUGUUGGUGAGGUAAUGGCUCACCAAGGCGACGAUCAGUAGCUGGUCUGAGAGGAUGAUCAGCCACAUUGGGACUGAGACACGGGCCCAAACUCCUACGGGAGGCAGCAGUGGGGAAUAUUGGACAAUGGGGCGAAAGCCUGAUCCAGCCAAUGCCGCGUGAGUGAUGAAGGCC